GCUACUGGCAGUGGAAGUGUAGACGACGGCAAUGAUGAUGGUGGAAAGGGGAGACCCUUAGAACCAGUGAAAAUAAAAUGAAUAGCAGAAAAUCGGAGAACCUGACAAAGCACAAGACCUAAAAGACAUGAGUACAGAGGUCAUCAGGGAAGACACGGUGGGAACCGUUGACUUCCACAUUGGUUUUGGGUUUUGUGGAAACGGAGGAAGAGGGAAAUUCAGUAAGUUACCUAAUUGUCAUCAUCUGAAGAAGGAAACACACCAGACUCAGAGGGAAGAAACAAGAAAACUGGGUAGAGGCUGACGAAGUCUCCCAGAAUGGAAAGCAUGCAUAGCAGCAAGACAUGAGAGAAAAGGUAAG
rnacentral:lncRNA from 1 species